rnacentral:rRNA from 1 species
GACGUAGGGUGCGAGCGUUGUCCGGAUUUAUUGGGCGUAAAGAGCUCGUAGGCGGCUUGUCGCGUCGAAUGUGAAAACUCGGGGCUCAACUCCGAGCUUGCAUUCGAUACGGGCAGGCUAGAGUUCGGUAGGGGAGACGUGGAAUUCCUGGUGUAGCGGUGAAAUGCGCAGAUAUCAGGAGGAACACCGGUGGCGAAGGCGGGUCUCUGGACAGUUCCUGACACUGAGGCACGAAGGCCAGGGGAGCAAACGGG